rnacentral:rRNA from 1 species
UACAGAGGUCUCAACCGUUGUUCGGAUUCAUUGGGCGUAAAGGGUGCGUAGGCGGUCGCGCAAGUCGGAUGUGAAAUCUUGGGGCUCAACCCUGAAACUGCAUUCGAUACUGCGUGGCUUGAGUACUGGAGAGGAGACUGGAAUUUACGGUGUAGCAGUGAAAUGCGUAGAUAUCAGGAGGAACACCGGUGGUGUAAACGGCUUUCUGGACCAUAACUGACGCUGAGGCACGAAAGCGUGGGUAGCAAACAGG